rnacentral:lncRNA from 1 species
AAGCAAUUAAUGCAAAAACAUCUAAUUGGAAAGCAAUAGUCAUGUUUCUAAUCCUCCAAUUUACUGUUGUAAUAAUGUUAGAUUAUUGCAAAAAAAACGUUGCUCAACGGUAUAUUCCAACAUUCAAAUUCUUCAAUGUCAAUUAAUUUUGCAACAUUAAAAUCAUUUAUUAUUUUUAAUUUCUUUUAUUCUUUCCUAGCUCUAUAAAUAGAGAGCUCUUCCCCUAUUCCAAAACACAAAAAACGAGUCUUUUCUCUUCCUCUUUUUUUUUUCAUUUCCUACAAAUAUUCUGGGUUAAUUUAUACUCUUUAUAGAGUUGUUUCUUGCUAGUUUUGUGACUCUCGAAUACAUUUCGAGAAGUUCCUGCUGUAUCCUGGGGGACUUGCGCAAUACACUGCGAAUAAGUCCUUAAGAUUGUAGGUACACUCAAUGUCCUAAUCAGGAACAUUGAGAUGCACUUGCUAGACUUAGAGAUACUUAAGAGGUUCAAUGGAUUAUGCCAUUGAAUAUAGUGGAUUUCCCGCUGUACUAGAAGGGUACAAUGAUGCUAACUGGAUCUCUGAUUCAGAUGAGACAAAAUCCACUAGUGGUUAUGUAUUCACACUUUGGGGUGGUGCGAUUACAUGGAGAUCAGCCAUACAAACAAUUAUUGCAAGAUCAACAAUGGAAUCUGAGUUUGUCGCUCUUGAGAUGGCUGGUAAUGAGGCUGAGUGGUUGAAAAACUUCUUACCAAACAUUCCACUAGGAAUGAAACCAACCCCGUCAGUGUCUAUACACUGUGAUUGUCAAUCGACAAUAGCUAUAGCUAAAAGAGAAGAAUUACGAUGGAAAGAAUAGACAUAUUCAAUUGAGACAAAAUUUGGUGAAGCAGCUACUAAAGAGUGGAAAUAUUUCCAUUGAUUAUGUGAAGUCAGAACGGAAUCUAGCGGAUCCUUUGACAAAACCCCUAGGAAGACAAAUGAUAUUAGAAACAUCGAGGGGAAUGAGACUUAAGCCACUUGCAAACAAACAAGUAAUGGUAACCCAACCUUUGUGAUUGGAGAUCCCAUGAAUAAGGUUCAUAUGGGUAAAAACAAGUCACUUGUUAGUUCUGAUAGCACUAAAUUGAUUUUAAUCAAUUAUGUCCCUUCCUAUGAUGUGUGUGUGAAAGUGCUAUAGACUGUAUUAUGAGAGGAUAAACUUUAUCAUUAAAAUUCUAUGUGGAGAUAGAAUUUUAGCUUAAAUAAAGUUUUUAAUGAUUUUCAUAUCCCUUAUGGGUGGUGUAUGAUUUGCAGUAUAUACUUGAUGAAAUCACCUAUAUGAGUGUCAAGUGGGGCCGCUUGCAUGAGAUCUUGGCAUGAUCUCUAGAUCACUCAUGAAUAUCGGGCACGUGCAUGGCCUAGUAAGCACAAUACAACGAUAACAGCAAGAAUUGUGUGGGUUUAUUGUGAUUGAUAAACCUCUAACACACGUCAAGUGUCUUUGGUUCAUAUAGCUUGCUAUACCAACUACACUGUGUGUUAAGUUUCUUGAUCUAAGAUUGGUUCAUAUAGCUUGCUAUACCAGCUCUAAUGCAUUACAUCUUAUGAGACCUAGGAUAAAAAAGUUUUUUUUCUUUUCUUUCAACUUUCUUUUGCAAUAAGUGGGGGAUUGUUGUAAUAAUGUUAGAUUAUUGCAAAAGAAACGUUGCUUAACUGUAAUAUUCCAACAUUCAAAUUUUUCAAUGUUAAUUAAUUUUGCAACAUUAAAAUCAUUUAUUAGUUUUAAUUUCUUUUAUUCUUUCCUAGCUCUAUAAAUGGAGAGCUCUUCCCCCAUUCCAAAACACACCAAAAAUGGGUAUUUUCUCUUCCUCUCUUUUUCUUUUCAUUUCCUACAAAUAUUUUGGGUUAAUUUAUACUCUUUAUAGAGUUGUUUCUUGCUAGUUUUGUGACCCUUGAAUACAUUUCGAGAAGUUCCUAUUGUAUCCUGGGGGACUUGCACAAUACACUGCGAAUAAGUCUUUAAGGACAGUGAUCUACACGCCUCAGGAAAUGCGGUUUGAGUUUUUGGUCAGCAUUUUUACUACAUUUACCAACAAAAUAACUUUACCAUUUGAUCCCUUAACCCCUUGAUGCCUAUUUUAAUAUUAAUUGAAAAAAAAUUGUAAAUGGAGAAAUGCAGAAGGGUUUUAUCAUGAAGUCAUUGAUUUUACUUAUUAUCAACCCUUUUGUGGCUUGGAUCG